GGGGUUGUAGCUCAGUUGGUAGAGCGCUCGCUUCGCAUACCUAAAUGAGACCUGCGAGAGGUCUGGGGUUCGACUCCCCACAGCUCCA
rfam:Aspergillus terreus NIH2624 scaffold_10 genomic scaffold, whole genome shotgun sequence.